GACGAACGCUGGCGGCGUGCCUAAUACAUGCAAGUAGAACGCAGUUGCGAACGGGUGAGUAACGCGUAGGUAACUGCCUCAUAGCGGGGGAUCACUAUUGGAAACGAUAGCUAAUACCGCAUACUGCGAGAUGGACCUGCGUUGUAUUAGCUAGUUGGUGAGGUAAAGGCUCAACAAGGCGACGAUACAUAGCCGACCUGAGAGGGGGAUCGGGCACACAGGGAAUGGGGCAAGGCCCAGACGCCGACGGGAGGCAGCAGUAGGGAAACUUCGGCAAUGGACGGAAGUCUUGCCCGGCGACGCCGCGUGAGUGAAGAAAGGUUUCGGAUCGUAAAGCUCUGGUGUUAGAGGAGCGGUAUCUAACCAGAAAGGGACGGCUAACUACGUGCCAGCAGCCGCGGUAAUUC
rnacentral:rRNA from 1 species